CUCAAACUCCUGAGUUUGCCUCAGCCUCCCAAGUGCUAGGAUUACAGGCGUGAGCCACUGCACCUGGCCCUUUUUUUUUUUGAGACAGAAUCUUGCUCUGUCGUCCAGGCUGGAGUACAGUGGCACCAUCUCAGCUCACUGCAACCUCCGUCUUCCCGGGUUUAAGCAACUCUCUUGCCUCAGUCUCCUCAGUAGCUGGGGUUAUAGGCAUGGGCCGCCAUACCCCACUAAUGUUAAUAUUUUUUGUAUUUUUAAUAGAGAUGGAGGCUCAUCAUGUUGCCCAACUCCUGACCUCAAGCAGUCAUCCCACCUUGGCCUCCCAAAGUGCUGGGAUUACAGACAUGAACCACUGUACCUGGCCUGAUUUGCUUUUUAACAAUUUCAGGAAAUGUGAUCAGAUGCAGUGGUUAAGAGUGUGAGUUAGACAGAACUGGGUUCAAACUCCAGCCAGGCCAUGUAAGCGUGGUGUGACCUCAAGCAGGAGAAUAGAGGGAAAGGACAUGGGUUUCUGGGGACAGAUCUGCCUCUGAAUGGCUAUGUCACUUCAUCUCUUUACCUUGUAGGAUUUUGUGGGGUAACAUGAGCUGCCGUGGGGAAAUCACCUGGGCCAGCACUUGAUGUCUAAUAAGUGCUUAGUAACUAGUUGGCUUUGUUGUCUUGUGUUUUCAAAACUCAGCUUUGUAGUUGAGGGAAUGGAGGCUCAGGGAAGCCUGGAGAUAUACCUGGGGUUACACUUCUGACAAAUGGCAGAGCUGGAUCUCACCUAUAGGUCUUUAGGCCUAUUUUGUGUCUUCUACAGAGUCAUGAGUGUGGCACAGUCCCCAAAACACGUUUUUUGUUUGUUUGGUUUGUUUUUUGUUUUUUGAGACGGCGUCUUGCUCUGUUGCCCAGGCUAGAAUACAGUGGCGUGAUUUCGGCUCACUGCAACCUCUACCUCCUGGGUUCAA
rnacentral:lncRNA from 1 species